rnacentral:misc_RNA from 1 species
GAAAUGCGAUACGUAAUGUGAAUUGCAGAAUUCCGUGAAUCAUUGAAUCUUUGAACGCAACUUGCACUCACACACAAGUGAGUAUGCCUGUUUGAGUACCUAUACACACCUUCAGCCAAAUUGGAUGAGAUUUGGGCAGUUCAGCCGCUCGGCUGAUUGCCUCAAAGUCAUAACUGGCUGGCUGCGUUAGUGACGAGCGUGGACAAAGUGAAUGAAGGGUGCGCCCACGUCCUUUGGCUGCGCCUAGUCGGCAGCGAGCAAAGUAGCCUGUCACCGGGCAUAGAUUGCCGCAGGGCAUUCUGAACCUCAGGUCUCAAAUCAGGUAGGAAGACCCGCUGAACUUAA